UACGUAGGUGGCAAGCGUUGUCCGGAAUUACUGGGUGUAAAGGGCGUGUAGGCGGGAGGACAAGUCAGAUGUGAAAGCCCAUGGCUUAACUGUGGAAUUGCAUCUGAAACUGUUUUUCUUGAGUGCUGGAGAGGAAAGUGGAAUUCCUAGUGUAGCGGUGAAAUGCGUAGAGAUUAGGAGGAACACCAGUGGCGAAGGCGGCUUUCUGGACAGUAACUGACGCUGAGGCGCGAAAGCGUGGGGAGCAAACAGG
rnacentral:rRNA from 1 species